CCAGACUCCUACGGGAGGCAGCAGUGGGGAAUAUUGCACAAUGGGGGAAACCCUGAUGCAGCGACGCCGCGUGAGUGAAGAAGUAAUUCGUUAUGUAAAGCUCUAUCAGCAGGGAAGAAAAUGACGGUACCUGAGUAAGAAGCCCCGACUAACUACGUGCCAGCAGCCGCGGUAAUACGUAGGGGGCAAGCGUUAUCCGGAUUUACUGGGUGUAAAGGGAGCGUAGACGGCUAUGCAAGUCUGGAGUGAAAGGCGGGGGCCCAACCCCCGGACUGCUCUGGAAACUGUAGAGCUAGAGUGCAGGAGAGGUAAGUGGAAUUCCUAGUGUAGCGGUGAAAUGCGUAGAUAUUAGGAGGAACACCAGUGGCGAAGGCGGCUUGCUGGACGAAAACUGACGUUGAGGCUCGAAAGCGUGGGGAGCAAACAGGAUUAGAUACCCCGGUA
rnacentral:rRNA from 1 species